rnacentral:rRNA from 1 species
CAGCACGGGAGCUUGCUCCUGGUGGCGAGUGGCGAACGGGUGAGUAAUAUAUCGGAACGUAUCCAAUAAUGGGGGAUAACUAGUCGAAAGAUUAGCUAAUACCGCAUACGCCCUGAGGGGGAAAGCUGGGGAUCUUCGGACCUAGCGUUAAUGGAGCGGCCGAUAUCUGAUUAGCUAGUAGGUGAGGUAAAAGCUCACCUAGGCGACGAUCAGUAGCUGGUCUGAGAGGACGACCAGCCACACUGGAACUGAGACACGGUCCAGACUCCUACGGGAGGCAGCAGUGGGGAAUUUUGGACAAUGGGCGCAAGCCUGAUCCAGCCAUUCCGCGUGAGUGAAGAAGGCCUUCGGGUUGUAAAGCUCUUUCGCAAGGGAAGAAAACUUAACCUCUAACAUAGGUUGAGGCUGACGGUACCUUGAUAAGAAGCACCGGCUAACUACGUGCCAGCAGCCGCGGUAAUACGUAGGGUGCGAGCGUUAAUCGGAAUUACUGGGCGUAAAGCGUGCGCAGGCGGCCUGAUAAGUCAGAUGUGAAAUCCCCGAGCUCAACUUGGGAACUGCGUUUGAAACUAUCAAGCUAGAAUAUGUCAGAGGGGGGUAGAAUUCCACGUGUAGCAGUGAAAUGCGUAGAGAUGUGGAGGAAUACCAAUGGCGAAGGCAGCCCCCUGGGAUAAUAUUGACGCUCAUGCACGAAAGUGUGGGGAGCAAACAGGAUUAGAUACCCUGGUAGUCUACGCCUCUAAACGAUGUCUACUAGUUGUUGGUGGAGUAAAAUCC